AAUGUUCUGUUCUUUAAACAUUCUGUGGCAGGCUUCACUUUUUCAGGCAAAGGAAUGAGACAGAGGAAAAUAACAGUUUGAGUAUAAAAGGGGGGAGCAGAGGGAGUUGUUGUUGUUCCAAAAGCUACUGCUAGACAGAGCUGAGCUGACUAAGGAGGGAGAUUUUAACAGAGGAUCGAGCCUGCUGCACGGCACCGUGAUGAAGGCGGGGCUCAGCCUGCUCCUGGCUCUCUGCCUGCUCCCUGGGGGCGGAGCAGAGAGUGAGGGGGAGGGGACCCGCUGUAAGCCACCAGCUGGUUGGAGCAUUGGGGAGGUGGAGCCAAUGAAGGGGGUUAUGGGCCAGGUCACGGUGGUGGCCCUCCUCCAGGCCAGCUGAUUGUUCUGCUUGGUGCAGGCAUCCUUAUUGGAUGAGCUGCGCCUGAAGCUGGAGGGCCAGGGUCUGGACAAUGUGACCUAUAUGGUGGUGAACCACCAGGGGGACCAGGCCCAGCACCUUCACACCUUGCUGAGCCAGAAACUGUCUGAGAACAUCAUAUUGUACAAACAGGAGCCCAAACAGGCUGACGUGUGGCAGGCCCUGGCUGGAAAGAAGGAUGACUUCCUCAUCUAUGACAGGUGUGGUCGUCUGACCCAUCAUAUCUUCCUCCCUUUUUCCAUCCUGGGUACUCCCUACGUAGAGAACGCCAUUAAGGAGACCUACUGCCAAAGCAUCUGUGGGGACUGCACGUAUGAGAGCACAGAGAUCCCAGCAGAGUGCAACAGGAUGGUAGAGGUAAAGCCUGAGGGAGAAGAAAAGCCAGUUACUGGAGGGGAUACACCUCACGGUGGGCGCGGCCAUCAUCACCAUGGCAAUGGGCACGGUCACCAUAGCAAAAGCCAUGGUCACGGUCACCAUGGCGAGAGUGAGGUGGGGCGCGAUCACGGUCGUGGCCAUGGGGUGGAGCAGCAGCAGCACCAACAUGGCGCUGAGGGGCUCCACCAUGGCCAGGCCCAUGGCCAAUUGCACGUUGGUCAGGAGCAUAUGGGUCAGCAGCCCAAGGAGGCGCAGGAAGGGCAUAUUAUGCAGAGGCCCUGAGUGAAGGGGAGGGCCAGGUGAAAGGCGGAGCUCAGCUGACAUUUGAAGGAGGGGUCUGAUAUAAGUCCCUCCUCCAAGGUCAGCUGAUGCUGACACUGACGGGGGCUGUUUGGCAAUGGGGUGAGCAACGAGCCAAUCGGGCUCUGACACUGUGAUGAGGCGCUGCCUGCCUCCUGACAGUGACAGGGACUGAUGGGCGACUCCACCAAUCACAUCAGGGAGACCUGACAGUGACGCUCGCCCCCCGCUGACUGACAGCAGCCUCCGCCAGUGAUGUCAGCCUGAUCCCCGGGUGUUGAAACCUGAGGCUGAGAGCAGCUGUAAGCAGGGCCAUGGCUCUGUGAAAGUUACCUUGCUUAUAGGCCUCAUAUUAACCUCUGUGUGACCAACACCGGGGAAAAGCGCUCAUACCAUCUUACCAACUAGUAUUGCUCCGGUACUGUAAAGCCACACUUGAUAGAGAGGGAUGGAGGAAUACAUUGGGUCUGGUAGAAGAAUGCUAAGCCUAAACCUAUUGCGAUAUGGGGAAUAGGAUGGUAUUUGAGAUGUACCCAAAGGGAUAGUAUGACAUCAAGGAAGGUAGCCUCCACCCUCUCGCUCUCUGUCGGUGCGUUGGUGUCACCCUCCAUGGAGUGUAUGGGGUGACUAUGUUGAUGUUUCUCCUCCUCCGUUUUGCUCCCUCCAUCCAAAAUGAAGGCAGGCACAGAAACUACCCUCUAGUGGUGUCUGUCUGAUGUCCGGCUGGGGAGAGGGGAGGGGAGGGCCAUACAAUAUGACCACCCCCUAAAGUUCAAAGUUCAGAAUAUCGAGAGCUUUGGAAGGAGUAUGAAGGAGUAGCGGCCAAUGUUGAAAUAAACUGACAUCAUGGUCAGAAAUGCAAGAUUUGAACCAAAGUUAGACAUUGUUAUAUUCAGCGUUAGUUAGACAUUGUUAUAUUCAGCGUUAGUUAGACAUUGUUAUAUUCAGCGUUAGUUAGACAUUGUUAUAUUCAGCGUUAGUUAGACAUUGUUAUAUUCAGCCUUAGUUAGACAUUGUUAUACUCAGCGUUAGUUAGACAUUGUUAUAUCAGCGUUAGUUAGACAUUGUUAUAUUCAGCGUUAGUUAGACAUUGUUAUAUUCAGUGUUAGCAAAACAAAUUUGGUUAAAAUACAUUAUUGAUAGAGUAAGAUUUUUCUAUUAUGACCCCAUCAACAUUUUCAACUUUUUCUUCAACUAAAAAUCUAAUGUCACUCCUUUCAAGCAACAACAUUUAUUUUUACCUUUGAAUUAACGCUGUGUUUAUUAAAGCAGUAGUGUGUUUUGUAGACAAAAUUCUAUAUUCAUAGCGUACAGCUGUAAUAAUGUGUGUUUAGUUUUCCAUUUUUCUGUCACUGUUAUUGCUGUUGGCAAUAUUACACACAUAUCCAUAAUGCACUGUUUGUGAACUAACAAAACAAAGUGACCACUUUUCAACUAACAAAAAAACCAGCUGGAAUGAAGGUGGGAAGAGAGAAAUAUUGAAUAUACUGUACUUAAUGAAGGUCUCUGGGGAAGACUACAGUCACCUAGAACACUCUAUGCUUUGUACAGAACAAAUUCUUUCUGACUUUGGAGUGUAGGUGGUGGAACAUGUAAGAAAAUAUCAAUAAAGUUGGUUGAUGCACUCA